ensembl:lncRNA
GGGUGGUUAUGGGGCGGUUAUGGGGUGGUUAUGGGGCAGUGCAGAACAUGGCCGUGGGCAAGCAGAACCUCGAGGUCAUGAUCAGCAACUCCAACCGCUCCCAGCAGGACUUCGGUACGGGGGGCGGGGGGUCAGAGGUCACAGGUCGGGGGUCAGGGGGUCACGGAGUCAACGGUUGGGGCAGUGAGGGGUGAUGGGGUUGGGUUGAGGUCAUGGAGAGAGAAGAGGGGAAAGAGAGUGUGGAGGGGAUGAUGUGGGGCUGCAAUGGGUCCCUGGAGAGCCUCGGAGGGGGGUCAGAGGUCAGAGGUCAUGUGCCGUGGGGUCGGUAUGGGGUCAGUAUGGGGUCUUAGGGUCAGUAUGGGGUCGGUAUGGGGUCGGUAUGGGGUCAGUAUAGGGGGUGAUGGAGUCAGUGUGGGGUGAUGGGGUUGGGGUGAGCAGAGGGGAGAGAGAGAGUGGAAGGGAUGAUGUGGGGCUGCAAUGGGUCCCUGGAGAGCCUCGGAGGGGGGUCAGAGGUCAGAGGUCACGUGCCAUGGGGUCAGUGUGGGGUCUUAGGGUCAGUAUGGGGUCGGUAUGGGGUCAUUGUGGGGUGAUGGGGUUGGAGAGAGGUGAUGGAGUGAGAAGAGGGGAAAGAGAAUAUGGAAGGGAUGAUGUGGGGCUGCAAUGGGUCCCUGGAGGGCCUUGGAGGGGGGUCAGAGGUCAGAGGUCACGUGCCAUGGGGUCAGUGUGGGGUCUCAGGGUCAGUAUGGGGUCGGUAUGGGGUGCUGGGGUCAGUGUGGGGUGGUUAUGGGG